rnacentral:rRNA from 1 species
CGGUAAUUCCAGCUCCAAUAGCGUAUACUAAAGUUGUUGCAGUUAAAAAGCUCGUAGUUGGAUUUCUGCGGGGACGGAGCGGCCGGUCGCAACUUGCGACUCGAGCUAGCGCUUUCCCCGCAUCCUGCCGCGAACCGUGCUACCAUUAGCUUGGUGGCGCUGGGGAUCGGCUCGAUUACUUUGAGAAAAAUAGAGUGUUCAAAGCAGGCCACACGCCUUGAAUAAGUUAGCAUGGAAUAAUGACUAAGGACUUCGGUUCUAUUUUGUUGGUGUUCGGGACUGAAGUAAUGAUUGAUAGGGACAGUUGGGGCGGUCUGUAUUCCAAAGCGAGAGGUGAAAUUCUUAGACCUUCGGAAGACAAACAGCUGCGAAAGCGUUCCGCAAGGAUGUUCCCUUUGAUCAAGAACGAAAGUUGGGGGAUCGAAGACGAUCAGAUACCGUCGUAGUCUCAACUAUAAACUAUACCAGCUAGGGAUCGGUCAACGUUUAAUCAUUCGACUUGAUCGGCACCUUAUGAGAAAUCAAAGCAUCUGGGUUCCGGGGGGAGUAUGGUCGCAAGGCUGAAACUUAAAGGAAUUGACGGAAGGGCACCACCAGCCGUGGAGCCUGUGGCUUAAUUUGACUCAACACGGGAAAACUUACCAGGUCCAGACAUAGUAAGGAUUGACAGAUUGAUAGCUCUUUCUUGAUUCUGUGGGUGGUGGUGCAUGGCCGUUCUUAGUUGGUGGAGUGAUUUGUCUGGUUAAUUCCGUUAACGAACGAGACCCCAGCCUGCUAAAUAGCGCGGCUGAGCUUUGCUCGGUGCGAGCUUCUUAGAGGGACUAUGAUGCGCGAUAGCACAUGGAAGUUUGGGGCAAUAACAGGUCUGUGAUGCCCUUAGAUGUUCUGGGCCGCACACGGGCUACACUGGCGCCUGCAACGAGCAUAUCAGCUGGCCCGAGAGGGUCUUGGCUAAUCUUUUGAACCGGCGCCGUGCUUGGGAUUGACCAUUGCAAUUGUUGGUCAUGCAACGAGGAAUGCCUUGUAAACGCGAGUCAUCAGCUCGCAUUGAAUACGUCCCUGCCCUUUGUACACACCGCCCGUCGCUCCUACCGAUGAAUGUUCCGAUGAAAUUUUCGGAGAGCGCCAGAGAACGGGGCUCCGCCUUGCAGAUCUGGAGGCUCAAAGUCACUUAAAUCUGAACAUUUCGAGGAAGGAGAAGUCGUAACAAGGUAGCCG